rnacentral:tRNA from 1 species
GCGUCAGUGGCCAAAUGGAUUAAGGCACCUGCCUCUUAAGCAGGGGAUUGCGAGUUCGAGUCUCGCCUGACGCACCA